rnacentral:lncRNA from 1 species
GGUUUGGUAUGCAGUCUGAUAACCUUUUCUCUCCUUUUCUUUCUUUCUAAGCCUCCCAAACACUGAGCUAGCUGAGCAAUAUGUGCAUUGAUCUCAUCAUCCAUGUGAACAGCCCUGGUGAGGGUACUACUGCCAAGGGAAGUGAACUUCUCCACAGAAUUCCACAUUUCUCCAUAUACUGUCAUCAAUGGUUCCAUGUGUGGAUAAUGUGGCACUAGCUGAUGGAGGACUUCUGUUUUUUUGGUGUGAAUUGUCAGGCUCAAAUCAAGCCAUAUUCUGUUGCAUCUGUGUCUCAGAAGCUGUAUGGAGGACAAGACCACCUUUGAACAAAAAGUCUAGCACCAACACCCUCUCCAUCGGUUUUAAGAUAGAAGUUUAACAAAUAGCACUGAAAGAUGAGAGAUGAAAGAAGGAGCCGGAUGAGGAGAGGUGGGGCAUGAUGCUGGCUGAUGUGAAGACAAAGAAUCUUUUGGCUGUGGUGCUUAUGAGAAUUAUGAUAAAUGCAGCCAAAGAGAGAGAAGCAAGGGUCUUCAGGGUGCUCAACCCACUGCUUCAGCUACAGGGAGAGGAAUUGAGGAUAAACCAAGAGUCUGGACAGCAACAGCCGGUGGCCUAGAUACUGUUUUGAGGGGGAGUCACCCUCCUUCCCCAAGCUCCCGGCCUCAUUGGUCCUGCCCUCCCUCUCACCUAGUGGUCCCGGCAGCCUCAGCGGACCGACAACAGAAGAGAGAGGAACGAAGUAGAAGAGCGACGACCAGAAUGGAGAUGCGGUGGGCAGCUGGCGGCAACUCGGUCCUCCCUGACGUGGGGAGCCAUGAACAUUUUUUUCUCUUAUUGAACAUCCUGUUGCCCCACCCUAGGCAACCAUGCUGUCACUCUUAGAGCCAGAGAACAGAAGUCCUUCCUCUCGGGACUCGUAGGAGCCUUUCUGGAGCCAGAAGAGGCCACGGCUACCUCGUUUUUCUGGGCAAGCCCUAUAGACCCAAAUUGGGAUUGAGGAAGUCAAACAGAUUAGCAAGUGCCUCUUUGCAGGACCAAGAGACUCUUUGCUCUAGGACUGAAUGCACUUCGGGGUUCCUUUAAUUAAGUAAGGGGUUUUCUGGUGUAUUUAGAAGAGGAUCUGAUUCAGACCAUUCACGGCUUUUCUAGAAGAGCUAUAUUAAAAAGCUAGGGCCAUCACAGCCUGGAGAAAGGGAAAAUGGCAGAUUAUGAGCUACUGUGGCUAGGGGAGAAUUCUCUUUUUAUUUAAUCUCAGGGUAGGAGCUUUGGGAAGCACUUCAGCUAAAGGGGAGCUGGAGCUGUUUAUGUUUCAAUGGAAAUGUGAGUCUUAAGUGUUUUAAAAGUAUGCUGGAAGGCAGGUGUGGGUUGAUUCUGGCCCAGGGCCAGGGAAAGGGGUGUAAGAUGAUCUACAAGUACCUGGAGGAGCAGGGGGCUGGGAGAAACCAGAGUAGAAAAACACUGAAAUUAAGAUGGAUGAGAAGGACUGGAGAAUGGAAUUAGGAGGGCAAAGAGGGAGGCAAGAGGGUCCAGGCUAGCAGGGGGCAAGAAUGCUCAAGCCAGCACCAGUAAACAAAUGACAAAUUAAUUAAUUGAUUGUUAAUCAACAAUUUAUUAAGCCCC